GACGAACGCUGGCGGCGUGCUUAACACAUGCAAGUCGAACGGAAAGGCCCUUCGUUUGUGGGCUGCUCGAGUGGCGAGCGGGAGAGUAACGCGAGAGUACCCCGGCCUUGGGUUAGGUCUAACUUCAGGAAGCUGGGGCUAAUACCGGAUCGCUUCUCCUGCUGCUUGGGGUGGGUUGGAAAGUUUCGGCGGUUGGGGAUGGACUCGCGGCUUAUCAGCUUGUUGGUGGGGUAGUGGCUUACCAAGGCUUUGACGGGUAGCCGGCCUGAGAGGGUGACCGGCCACAUUGGGACUGAGAUACGGCCCAGACUCCUACGGGAGGCAGCAGUGGGGAAUAUUGCACAAUGGGCGGAAGCCUGAUGCAGCAACGCCGCGUGCGGGAUGACGGCCUUCGGGUUGUAAACCGCUUUCGCCUGGGACGAAGCGUGAGUGACGGUACUGGGUAAAGAAGCACCGGCUAACUACGUG
rnacentral:rRNA from 1 species